rnacentral:lncRNA from 1 species
UUCGUUGUCUUAUCAGACUUAGUUCUGCGUUAUGUAGUCUUUGAUGAGCCUCUAACUUGUCAUAAUGGCUGAUCUUUCAUUGUAUUUCGAGAGCUACAUUGUCCAUAUGAGGUUGAUUGUUUGAAAAUCUUAUUGUAGCUUCUUUUGAUUGUCAAUUAUUUCUUGUCUGUGGUAUUCCGGUUGUGUUGAUCAGAAGUUGUGUCAUUGUUUGUAAAAGGUUGUGGCUGCCAUGUUUGUCUCUUUGUGAGUUGUUCUCGGUUCUGUGGUUCAUGUCUUGUGUAUUUGUAAAUGUGUUUUUUUUUCUUUGGUAAAAAACAUAUAGGUCUUUAUGAUUUUUGACCAGGUUUUAGUUCAGAUGUGGAUUUGAAAUUUUUUGACAUGUGACUUUGUUAUUUGUUUUUUUUAAUAUAGAGUCAAAUACUAUUGUUCAAAUUAGAUUUUAUAAAUCUUGUCACAUGUAAAUUCUUGUUAUAACAGUUUUUUAUGAUUGGAUUCGUGCUAUUCUUGUUCGUUUUAGACCUGGUUGUGGAUUGUGGCGAUUGUUGAUUGUUUGUGAUAGAGGGUUCUUGCAUUCGUUGUUUGUAUUUGUGUUGUGUUACUUCAAGGAAUCUUUUGUCUUGCCUUGUUGCUUGCUAGAGUUAGGAUUUUUGGUUGUAGAAGUCCUAUUUUUUGACUUGCUUCUCUAUGUUAAGGCUGUUGUGAAAAACUGGGAAUGGUUGACUCGUUUAAACCCACCUGAAUGAAGGGGGCAUGUUGAAAAUAAUACAUUGGACUUUCAUUCAGGAUUGCCCUUGCUGCUGUGCUUAUAUUUAGUGGGUUAUAUUUUAGCCUGGUUUGUUUGGGCUUAGAGUUGUUUUUAAGCUGUUACAGUUGUUAACAAACAGGUUGUUUAAGUGGGAUUUGUUAAGCUGGUUUCAUAUUUGAAUGAAGGGGGAAUGUUAAAAGAAUAAGUAUAAAAUUCAUUCAAAUAUUUCAUAUAUGUUAUUUUUUAUUAUUCUGAUUUUUUCUUUUGUUACAGUUGUUAGUCUUUAUAUCAGGUUGCAACUAAUUGAGGGGUCUAUUUGCAACUUUGGCUGAUUUGUGGUUUUGGAGUUAGUUCGAGGGGCUUAGUGUAACAUGGGAUAUUUCUAGUAUAAAAGAGAAGUAUAGCUGCUAGGGUUCAUUCGGUUAUUCUCCCCAAAAGUCACUCUCACAGUUUAUAUCAAGUGCACAGGCAAUUUUCUCUUAAGUACAUCGGCGAUUAGGGUUUCAAGACCCUUCUUUAAUCAUCGCAGCUCUCAGGCUCUCAGUAUAAUCUGUCUGUGGAGAUCUGCUGUGAUUUACCGCUGUGAUUUGCUAUUCAUACUGUUGAUAUUUAUCUGUUCAGCUUGUUGUUAGUCUCACCUGUGAGAUCUUGAUCCUGUGUAGGUCAGGUUGUAUUCGUUCUUGUUAUCUUUCUAUCUUUGUAUUCAUAGAUCAACUGAUUUAUUAAAUCAGUCGAUCUAAACUUGUGUUCAUCAGAUCUUAGUUCAUGUAAGAUCGAGGGUUUGGGGGGUGUUUUUGGUUUGGGUAAAGAUAAUAAAAGUUUUGUCACAGUUUUGUCGCUUCUUUUCUGUUAUGUGUUGUUUUGUAUGAUGUUCUUCUCAUUAUUCGUGUAUUGUUGA